rnacentral:rRNA from 1 species
UACGGAGGGCGCAAGCGUUGUUCGGAAUCACUGGGCGUAAAGCGCGUGUAGGCGGCUUGGCAAGUCGGGUGUGAAAUCCCGAGGCUCAACCUCGGAACUGCACUCGAAACUGCCUGGCUCGAGUCCCGGAGAGGGUGGCGGAAUUCCCGGUGUAGGGGUCAAAUCCGUAGAUAUCUGGAGGAACACCAGUGGCGAAGGCGGCCACCUGGACGGUGACUGACGCUGAGACGCUAAAGCGUGGUGAGCAAACAGC